rnacentral:tRNA from 3 species
GGGAAUGGUCGGGAUAGCUCAGUGGUAGAGCAGAGGA